rnacentral:rRNA from 2 species
GCAACUCGACUCCAUGAAGUCGGAAUCGCUAGUAAUCGUGGAUCAGAAUGCCACGGUGAAUACGUUCCCGGGCCUUGUACACACCGCCCGUCACACCAUGGGAGUGGGUUGCAAAAGAAGUAGGUAGCUUAACCUUCGGGAGGGCGCUUACCACUUUGUGAUUCAUGACUGGGGUGAAGUCGUAACAAGGUAACCGUAGGGGAACCUGCGGUUGGAUCACCUCCUUACCUUAAAGAAGC